AGAGCAGAAGAAAGCAGAAAAUCUGAUAGCGCAGGCAGAAAAGAGAAAGAGAGAAAAUGAGAAGCUUCACUCAGAAAUAAUUGAAUUGAAAGACCAGCUCCAAGCCAAACAGGCAGUGAAUGAGGAUUUUGAAGCCCAGAAGAAGAUUAAAGCACUUGAACAAACGUUAAAGGAGAAGGCGCAGGAGCUUACUGAUCUGUCAGAAUUUUACAAUCCACUGAUUUUCAAGGAGAGGAGCAAUAAUGAUGAGCUGCAGGGGGCCCGUAACGAGUUAAUUGAGAAUUAUUCUUUUUGUUUUUGGUUACAGGUUCUUUGCAUUAUAAUCUCGUUGUUCUCUCUGUGUCAUUUGUCUUCCUCUUAUCAGAAGCUCUAUCUACUGGUUUUGAUUCCAAGGAAAGAUCUGCGGUCGAUAGUGUUUUGAGGCAAAGGUUGAACUAUAUGGAGAGGUCUUUGGAAACAGGAUGAGGCUAGGAUGCAGCUGUUGGGGAUGUUACAAUAACUACGAAUAGGACAAGAAUGGUUGAUUUUACACAGCCUUAAUUACAUGGAAUCAGGACUAGUUGUAGUUGUUCCUGUCAAACAGGUAAAAUCAAACCCUUGGGCUUUCCUGAAGCCAUUUACUAUUGAGAUGUGGUUAGUCACCGGUGCAUUCUUCCUUUUUGUGGGAGUCGUUGUUUGGAUUCUAGAGCACAGGAUUAAUCACGAGUUCCGUGGUCCACCAAGGGAACAGCUCAUGACUAUUUUUUGGUUUAGUUUCUCGACGAUGUUCUUCUCACAUAGAGAGAACACUGAGCACUCUAGGACGGCUGGUGCUGAUUAUAUGGUUGUUUGUGGUGUUGAUUAUCAAUUCGAGCUAUACAGCUAGUUUGACAUCGAUCCUCACUGUACAACAGCUGACAUCACGAAUUGAGGGGAUAGACAGCUUGAUAUCAAGUAAUGAUCCAAUCGGAGUUCAAGAUGGGUCAUUUGCAUGGAAUUAUUUGGUUAAUGAGCUCAACAUAGCAGAAGUUGUCAAAACAAUGGUUGCCAAGGGAUAUGUUCUGGGACAAGAUGCAUUAAUCAAGGGGAUUUGUCAAAACAAUGAGUCCUAUCAAGUAUCGGUUGCUACAACGUCCAAGGUUUAUGAGUUAGCAAUUGAAUAUGGGCUCAUCAAGGCAAAGAAGCUUUUCAAUCACCUCAAUAGCUCAGAGUAUGUAGGUCAUGAUACUUAGCCUACUGGGCGUCAGCAUUAUGUAUUUCAAUUUUUGAAUGUUUUUGUAUUUUUCAAGAUUGGUGAGAAAUAAUGUGAAAAAACAUGAAAUUUAUGAUU